ACGUAUUUUUCAAGCGUUGUCCGGAUUCACUGGGUGUAAAGGGCGCGCAGGCGGGGUAACAAGUCAGAGGUGAAAUCCUACAGCUUAACUGUAGAACUGCCUUUGAAACUGUUAAUCUUGAGUGCGGAAGAGAGAGACGGAAUUCCAGGUGUAGCGGUGAAAUGCGUAGAUAUCUGGCAGACCACCAGUUGCGAAGGCGGUCUCUUGGUCCGUUACUGACGCUCAGGCGCGAAAGCGUGGGGAGCAAACAG
rnacentral:rRNA from 1 species